rnacentral:lncRNA from 1 species
UUCAACAUAUAGAGAAUCGGCCUCCUCAUGUCUCCAGGCUUUGAGGACGAGCCCAACCCUAAUGUCCAACAUGCUUGCCGCAUCCUUUAUAGGAUCACCGUCAUCGGAUGAGAGAGGAGGAGGGGGAGAGGAAGCAUCUGCAGGUGGUGGUGGUGGUGGUGGUGCUGGAGUAGAAGAAGAGGUGGUCACGGCGCAAAAGGAGAGAUGUCGCCAAAACAUUCCUCUUUUUGAUCCUUCAGUCUUAACACCAGUGCGAAAUGGGACAGAUGAGCUCGUGGAAAGCACAUUGCCGGCAUGAUUGCGGCAGGAAACGAGGAGGACGCCACCGCC